GCUCCAUAGCUAGAUACCUGGAAGACUAGAGCACAAGUCAAUGUGCAUAUGCCCUUGUCUGAAGGUGGCAGCUGAAGAAGGCAGAAAAUAAGAUUAGUUGCAGUCUUUCCUUUCCUUUGUGUGGUACAUGUCUUGAAGGAACUUGUAGAAUCUUAAUGUGUGUCCUGGAAUAACUUCUUGCUACAGACUCACCCUCAAAGCCACAAGGCUAUAAUGGAGUCCAGCUGUUCUCUCCAAAUCCAUCCAUCAGCAGCACAAGAAGGUGAAGAAGGCAAAUGGUGACUGCCUGAGAGGAGAAAGAGGGCAGCAGGGUGAGGGAUGACUGCUUGCUGUGGAGGAUCAGGAGCAGGGAAAUAUGGCUCCCAGAGAUGACCAAGGUCAAGCUUGGCUGAAGGCUCAGGUUACAACUUGCUGAUCCAAACCUAACUCAGUUGUGGUACAGUUUGUUGCUGCAAGACAAUACUGGCAGAAGAACAAAUGGAUCCAAUGAAUAAAUUCAGCCUGAUAAUUAGAAGACAGUUUUUAGCCAUCUGGAAAAGAAGGCAGAAGGUUAUGGAACAGCCUUCAUAAGAGUAUUGGAAUGAAAUGGCUGAAUUAUUUUGAAGAUGAAGCUUGAGAAUUUUCUGCAUUAAACUUUUCAGGAUAAUCAUCUGCAACGAUGCAGGGGGUGGGGGCAGAAAAAGAAAAGCUUGUGCUGUGGUGUUCAACCCUUUGUGCAAUAAGAGAGAAUGAGAUGCUGGUCCAUAACGAUGAACAUCUGUGUUACGGAGUACAGAAGAUGAAUGUGGAGGCCAGGAACAGGAUGGACAUGUAUCACUUCUCCCCACUAAGCAGAGGUGGGAAAAUGCAUUGUAAGCAACUAAAAAGGAAACGAAUUGCCUAUAACAAUUCAAGGAUUGAUUUGAAAUAGUUAUUGAUUUGAUAUUGCCUUUCACCUGCAUGAGGGAAGCUGAUUAUACUUUGAAGACUGAAACUGGUUUGUUUUGAUUUGAUAGAUUUCCAUUUAGCCAGGCUAGCUUUUCUUGGUCCCUUUUGUAUCCCCCCCAUCUGGCAACCUCCUAGGUGGACAGAGGUGCUCCAGGUAAUGUGAUCAGGGGCAGUAAGUGUGUGAAAAGUGGAAGUGGGAAUUAGUAAGGUACCAUGUGAAAGCUCAUUGGCCUCCCAGAACUGUGUUCCAGAAAUGACAAAAGCCAUCCAUCUUGUGGGAGCAGACCCUUUGGAUUUGCUGACAGUAAUAAUUCCACCCCUAACUCUCCAGUAAUGCAUUAGCAUUAACAGUAAUUUUUGCCUCUAGACAGGCUCUGCAGUACAGCAUGAUGGUUCCUACCCUGUAAUUGUAGGAUCCUCAUUAAUCAGAAAGAAUAUUAUGACAUUGUGAGCUCACAAGAAAGACAAUUCAUGACUGACAUAAUAAAGGCCUAAAUUAUGCUGCUUUGAUGAUUGGAGGUGCAAUUUUUUUUUCUCUUGUGAAAAUAGGAUUUAGCAGCUGUAUGAAAAAAAAUCUGUAUAAUGAAAGUAGGGAGCAUUGAGAGGCAAGCAACACCAGCUUUAUCUAAAUGAGACCUUUAUUUCAAAAGGAAAUUAAAAUUUCAAAGCUGGUAGUGGUUUUUUUAAUUGAUAAACCAGAAUUUAAAUCAGGAUUUUGAGGAAGAACUAUGUGAGAAGCUUAUUGCUGCAGCACUGUAUUUAGUAUUUUCUACUAUUACCCUUUAUAAUUACCGAAAUUUAUAUAUUGUUUUGGCCAGCUUCCAAAAUGUGCUCUGACAUAUAUGAAAUGAUUAAUACUGAAAUGCAUCUCACAAAUUUAAUGCAAGUAUAUAUAGACCUAUAUUCAUUAGGAGCCAAAGAUUGUAAAUUAUAAAUGAAGAAGAGCACAAAAAAGAAAAACUGUUAAAUCCCAGUUUCUUCUUCCACUGAAGGUGUGUGGACAAAUUCAUUCAUUUCUUAGAGUCAGCCUGAAGGCUCUUUAAAUUAGCACUGCUUUCUGUGAAAGCAAUCCAUUGGGAACCCAGCAUCCCUUAAAGACAGAGGACUGGAGACUGAAGGGUGCUGAGGACGUGGUGGGCCCCAGAGGAGGGCCUUGCCUUGUGUGGCUGUAUGUGAUUGGCUCAGUGUGCUCUGAAGUGCUGUGAUUAACAGGGAAAUUCAGCAAAACUGUGGUUUUUCUUCAGGGAUUCCUUGCUCCAGAACAGGCUGACUGCAAUGCUCAUGAUCCAAGUAAACAAUAACUUAAACAAGCAUUUAAGAUUCUGGGAGAGCCCCCAAAAUCCCUCCUGAGCUGAGCUCCUCUCAUGCACUAGGGUUAAAGGGUUAAAUUACUUACUCCAGGCACUCGUGUCUAUACAUAAGUAUUUACCUAUGUUUAAGUAUAGCCCUGACUGCUCAGACAGAUUUCUUCUGAGUGCCUUAAAAAUUACUCCGUCUUUUCUGGAAAAUAUGAUAGUUGAGGAAAAACAAGGGAAAAAAAGUUAUUUUUGAGUAUUACACCAUCUUUUCCCCAGAUGAAAUAUUCUGCAUGCUUCUUCCUUGACCAUUGUUUUUGUUUGUUUGAGAUUGUGACAUGUAGAAGAGUCAAAAUUAGCCAUUGAGCAUAACUGAUGGGGAAAAUAGCAAUUUUAGUUAAAAAAUAUUUCCUGAGAUAUUUUUGGUGGUGGUAGUACAUAAAUGAUUAAAAACAAGUGUGUAUACAGUUUCUUUCAGGAAUGAUGCCAGGAUAGUUCAUGAAAUUCUUGUUUUCUUCGUGGCUCAUCCCCUGACUUAAUGAUUCUGUGCACCCUCUGGCACUACCUAGGAUGCAAUAUGAGGGGAUACCUAAAAUUUCAUUUGUCUUUAAAUUUAAGACUAGACUGGAUUUUAGACAUUAAUUCACAAAGGUAUUUUGUCUUCCUAUGGCCACAGGGGAGUGAUUAAGUAGGAACAGCUACGCAGUGCCAGAACAAGUUAGACGUGUCCACUUUAGGAGCUGCUGGCUUUGCCCUGACUGCUUUUGAAGCCAAUCUCCCAGCUGCCCACGUAACUGUGCUGGGUUUGCACUGGGCAGCAGCCCCAGAGGGUGCAGACUGAACCUUCCAAAAAGAUUCACCCAGAAGUUGAGCUUCUUAUACUCAGGGACCAGAAUGGUGUUAAAUUGACCAAAACUUUCCUUAAAAUUCAUGCAGUGGGUAUUCAGGUUUUCAGCAUCAGAGAUUUUGUACUGUAAAUCUGUUCCUGUGGGGAUGUGCAACUUGUAUCAAAGAUACAGGAUACUAUCUCCAAAGACACUGCCUUGGCUCUUACUUUACACUGAAAUCCUAUGGUAUGGUGGUACGUCAAAUUGUGCUGGGUGUCUCUGUAAAUACCAUUAAGAAGAUAUACUCAAUAUCUGUUUGUUUGUUUGUUUUUAAUAUACCACUGCCAUUUAUUUAUAACUCAAAUUCCUGCAGUUGUAUUUUUGCUGCCUUCAGGACUGUACCAUCUGGAGUGAUCUUCAGUCUCAGCCAUUUCUUUAGCUCAAACAUUCGUUCAUUCUUGGGGGAGCUCUCCAGAAGUGCACAUUACUUGGGCUGCAAGAAUUCUGUGCCUGUGUCAAUGAUCACAUACAGAUGGUGUGAAAACACUGGGAUCCAGUUGGUUCCCAUGGUAUUGAGACAAAAUUACAUGGAAUGGAGAAUUCCUUCUGAGAGACUAAAAACAUGAAGAUAUUUCUAUUAAAAUAUCAGUCUCUGAUUUUUUGUUAUAUUUGGCCUAUCCUAGAAAUUCAUGAAUCAGACUCUUGUGAGAGGCAGCCACUUUUGCUUUUUUCAGCUCUUCUUGGAGGGAGCUGCCAUGUUUCGUCACACUGACCCGGGGUCAAAGAAACAUAGGACCAAAAAAUGUUCAUAUUCAGAUUCACCUUGAAGAGUCUCAUGGCAAAGGCCUCAUAUUCAAAACUUUAUCUAGAAAGGUGGAUUUAAUGAAAUACCAUAGAAACAACGAAAUCUAUUUUGAAGUUAUAUUUAAAAUCAUGACAUAUUUUUGUUAGUUUGAAAGAUACUUAAAAUUAAGUAUGCAUAUGAAUUCAAAAUAUUUAAGUCUCCAAAAUGAAAAAUUGUUUCUGUCAUUGAAAAUGAUGAAUUUUUCCAAAUUGCCCAACUGUGCAGGCUUGCAUAAUGCCACUAAAAUAGCCCAAAUGAAAACUUACAAUGAUGCAGUUGUGUUGGUUUUAUUUUUUUCCUCUGUGAGUGGAAAUUGAUUUUCUCCAAUCUCUUCGAAUAUAUUGUGUGCUGCUUAAUGACCAGUAUUACAGAUGUCAGAGAGAGAUUCACCAAAAUGCUAAAAAUCAUACAAAGAGUGUAAGAAUUCAAGCAGGAAUGAUUCAUAUUGGUGGUGGUAUCUGCAGCUCUACAUAUGUCUGUUCUGCCUACUUGCGCUUCUAAACACUGAAGUUCAAGCUAUAUUGAUAAAACAUGGAUUUUAAUGAUAAUUUUGUUUUUAGGGGUUGUACCUGUAUGUGAUCAUGUUUUAGUAAUAGGAUUAUUUCAUUUUAUUCAAGUAUUGUGAUGUAUAAUAUUAAUUAAUUAAAUUGUAUUAUGUACUAAUAAACAUGCUAACAGUGAUCAUAUGC